rnacentral:rRNA from 1 species
GAUAUGGCUCAGAUUGAACGCUGGCGGCAUGCCUUACACAUGCAAGUCGAACGGCAGCAUGGAGAGCUUGCUCUCUGAUGGCGAGUGGCGAACGGGUGAGUAAUACAUCGGAACGUGUCCGUUUGUGGGGGACAACCGUCCGAAAGGAUGGCUAAUACCGCAUAAGACCUGAGGGUGAAAGCCGGGGACCGCAAGGCCCGGCGCAGACGGAGCGGCCGAUGAUUGAUUAG